AUCGCUUCUCGGCCUUUUGGCUAAGAUCAAGUGUAGAGGAUAGGAAUGCUACAAUUUCUGGGAAGACUGUCGAGCCCCCAGGAAGAGAGGGGCCCUAGUACACUGCGUGUGUCAGCUUUCCCUUCAAU
ensembl:snRNA U2 U2 spliceosomal RNA